GAUCGAUUAGUAUAGUGGUUAGUACGGAGCAUUGUGGGAUUCACCUUCUCAACUCUGCUCAGACGGGCGUUCGAUUCUCCCAUCGGUCA
rnacentral:tRNA from 1 species